rnacentral:rRNA from 1 species
AGUCACUGACAUUAGAUACCCCUGUAGUCCAGGGUGUAAACGCUGCAGACUUGGUGUUGGAAAUCCUUUGAGGGUAUUCAGUGCCGGAGAGAAGUUGUUAAGUCUGCUACUUGGGAGUACGUCCGCAAGGAUGAAACUUAAAGGAAUUGGCGGGGGAGCACCGCAACGGGAGGAGCGUGCGGUUUAAUUGGAUUCAACGCCGAAAAACUCACCAGCAGCGACUGUUACAUGAAAGUCAGGUUGAUGACCUUACUAGAUUUUCAG